UUGGCAUUAUGUUCUUAAUGACGGAUGCACAGAUACCCAGUGAGGAUUUUCUUGUCCUUAUUAA
rnacentral:snoRNA from 1 species